CCUACGGGAGGCAGCAGUGGGGAAUAUUGGGCAAUGGGCGCAAGCCUGACCCAGCAACGCCGCGUGAAGGAAGAAGGCUUUCGGGUUGUAAACUUCUUUUCUCAGGGACGAAGCAAGUGACGGUACCUGAGGAAUAAGCCACGGCUAACUACGUGCCAGCAGCCGCGGUAAUACGUAGGUGGCAAGCGUUAUCCGGAUUUACUGGGUGUAAAGGGAGAGUAGGUGGGAAAGCAAGUCAGAUGUGAAAACCAUGGGCUCAACCUGUGGCCUGCAUUUGAAACUGUUUGUCUUGAGUACUGGAGAGGCAGACGGAAUGCCUAGUGUAGCGGUGAAAUGCGUAGAUAUUAGGAGGAACACCAGUGGCGAAGGCGACUAUCUGGCACAUAACUGACGCUGAGGAGCGAAAGCGUGGGUAGCAAACAGGAGUAGAUACCCCAGUAGUC
rnacentral:rRNA from 1 species